UCUCAAAGAUGUCGGCAAUUUAAAAUUCGUUGGGAAGCGCGUGGAAAAGUUGGAAGCCAACCUCCUUCGUCGGGGGUUUCGAAGAAGAAGCGUGUCACCGCGGAGAAAUAUAUAAUUAGCCGCGGUUUCGAGACACGACUGGAAAGCAGGCUCGAGCCUGUGACCAUUUCGUAACGACCUUGGCUGUGAGGAAUCGUAAAACCAAGACAAUGUGGAAUGCACGGUGCUCGCUCCUAUUUUCGAGCGGAUAGCUCGAAACACUCGCGCGUAAAUCGUCGGACGUGAUUGAACGAGGACACGAUGUGAUACCGGUCGGUGAAAUAUUUUACGAUCGAAUCCUCACCCCUGCUUGCUUCAGAAAAUCUUUUCGUUUCGCGAGCUUCGUCGUUGAAGACCGUUCAUCCGUAGUCGCGUUAAUUAAUUUAUGAAUCCAGAGGGUGGCGAAAGAACGGGCGAGUGAACCGAAGAAGAUGCUUUGAACCGAUCAGCGUCGCUCGAGAAACGUCGGCCCCGAACAAAGCUCCGAUCGAGCGUGUUAAGGGCAAUUAUCGUUCCUCCCCGGUAAUUAAAGCGACGGCGCAAUAAAAAUCGGCCAACGAAGCUGCAGAGUCGAGAUUCCUUGGCUCGUAACGGUGUUGUGCGUAAACAGAUAGUUCUUAUAGCCUCCUCUACUGGUCCUAGAUUCGCAGGAAACGCUUCGGGACUGUUACAUUCUACUGCGAGAUAUAUACUGGUCGUGGCGUGAUCUCUGUGUGUUCUAUUUUUAUUCCUUUCUUUUUUUUUUUUUUUUAUCUUCGCGAAUCUAGACUUCCCAUGAUCAGUGGCGAAUAAAAUUUAUACCGUUGCAAGAAAGAAGGAUUUUACGAUCGUCGAUAAUUUCGAUGACUCGCGAAAGGAUCUACGAGAAAGUAGCGAAGGGGGAGAGCUUGUCUCGGUGAUUCUACAAGUCGCAGGAAUCCCGUAAAUACCGAGGGCCCCGGUAUCGUCGCCAUCUGUACGCGAUCCUCCUGCAGUUAAUUAUUCUCGUCGAGUCGCGGGGGCAUUUAAACGAACGAGGCCGUUAGGCCCCCGUGAGAGGAAAGCGUAAUCGGUUUAAAAUCGUGCCGUCCCAGAAAACCGAGAGCGGCAGAACCGUCUGGCGAAAAUCGAGUCCGCGCGCCGAAAACACAACGAGUGAGGGAGAAUACAGCCUGGUCCCGCGUUGUUACGUGUUCGUUGAGAGAGAGAGAGAGAGAGAGAGAAAGAGAGAAUUGACCUCUCUCUCUCCUUCCGGGACCCGCGCGACAUAUCACGCUUAUUACGAAUUAAACGAAAAAGAGGUUAAUUCCGUGGCGGCUAAAACGGUCGAUUCGAGCGGCUAUUUUCAGCUGGAAACGUGACACUUCAUUCAUAAUCCUCGACCGUGUAAGCUCGCCAGCCGACACCUAAUUAAAUCUGAAUUUCCUCCUGCACUUGUUCGAGCGAACAACUUCCUCGUUGCUGCACGAGUACAGCUAGACGCGACGCGCGACCCCCUUUCCACUACGAUGCAAAUUUUAUUUGCCAAGUAAUACUUGGCUAUCCUGUACUAUGUCCCUACUCGCGUUGUAUUUACGAUGUAUUUACGAUUAACCGAUACGGAGUUUACACGCCGACGGGGGACUAUUUGCGACUAUAGUCGCACCGUCGUGACAAAACGACAAACCGAGGGGUCACCUCAUCGACACGUGAUCGAUGCUCGUCACUGAGUCGCUAAAUAGCAACGAAAGGGUUUUCGGAGUACUCCGGGGGAACGAAGGACUAAGUGGAAACGCGUGUUACCGUCGGCUACUCGGCGCUGCCCUUUUCACGCUUAAUCCCAUCGGACCGUUUCCACGACAGCGGCGGAGCUGAGUCGGUAAAUCAACUGGAUAUUCCUUCUCUGGUCUCUCAUUCACUCGUACGUGUGUGUAGGUUCGUCCGUGAUUGCCGGAUUAAGUCUAACGUACCGGGAUUAAAACCAUCACCGUACGUACAGAGGAUUCAAGUUUCCCUUUUAUAUCACGGCGCGAAUUGGGCACGUCGUUAAACGCUGACCGAAUGUUGUCGGAUCACCUCCGUCGAUUUCACGGAAGAUUUAAUCAGGUUUUUUUUGACGAAUCGUUCAUUCAUCGUUUGUCUAAUCAGCAGUGGGCGUUGCAGAUAGUAGUUUUGCGUUUCACAGUGUAUCUACUUUUUUUUUUUGUUUUUCAUUUGUAAUAUAGUCGUGGCAAACGCGAUAAUCGCGAUUACAUUUGUUGGAUUCCGUGUAAAGGAACGACACUUGCAAUUUUAAGAGAGUUUAUUCUUCGUGGUUAAGGAUGACGUUGCAAUGUCUCUAGGUGUUAGCACUGAUUGUGAGCCAAUAUUGUCAACGCAUCGAUAGAAUUCGAAAAUACAAUUGCACAAGACAUUGUUCGAACAUUUACGUGAGCCACUGGUAACUUUGUAUUUUCGUUCCUGUCGGGUUUCCUAUUCGAGGAGCGAGUAAUUCCAGCGAUACGUAGCUGCGCGUGGGAUUCGACUCGAAAAUAUUUAACCGACCGUUUCGAAUGUUGACCCUAAUCGCGACCGAACCAGAUCGGAUCCGGCAAUUUGCGGCCUAUGCUCGGUUAACCAUGCGAGGAUUGUGACUCUCGUUUUGCGAGCAGCUCGCGGCGUGUGCGACUCGACUUCUCGAAGAGCGAACGGGCUCGAGAAGAUGGAGCGUGUCGUUUCAACGGGCGACAGUUGCUCGAAGAGGUUGUCGACGAUUACGGAAUACUCGGAGCCUGGGAUCGACAGCGACGAUAAUGAGGAACGUUACGAGGAGGAGCCAGCGAUUCCCAGAGGCGAUUCCGAGCAAAGGCUCGAGGACCAAGCGAGCACUGCCGUCAAGUACUUCCUCGUGGACGACUCGCCGAUGGCAAAGUUCAGCCGGAGCAUCAAGUGGAUCUACAAGAAAGUGACCAGUGAGCGG